CGAGGUAGCUCAGGGGUAGAGCAGUGGACUGAAAAUCCUCGUGUCGGUGGUUCAAAUCCGCCCCUCGGC
rnacentral:tRNA from 1 species